rnacentral:rRNA from 1 species
CCUAACUCUUUCUUCGUGCUUAACACAUGCCAGUCGAACGGAAAGGCCCUGCUUUUGUGGGGUGCUCGAGUGGCGAACGGGUGAGUAACACGUGAGUAACCUGCCCUUGACUUUGGGAUAACUUCAGGAAACUGGGGCUAAUACCGGAUAGGAGCUCCUGCUGCAUGGUGGGGGUUGGAAAGUUUCGGCGGUUGGGGAUGGACUCGCGGCUUAUCAGCUUGUUGGUGGGGUAGUGGCUUACCAAGGCUUUGACGGGUAGCCGGCCUGAGAGGGUGACCGGCCACAUUGGGACUGAGAUACGGCCCAGACUCCUACGGGAGGCAGCAGUGGGGAAUAUUGCACAAUGGGCGGAAGCCUGAUGCAGCAACGCCGCGUGCGGGAUGACGGCCUUCGGGUUGUAAACCGCUUUCGCCUGUGACGAAGCGUGAGUGACGGUAAUGGGUAAAGAAGCACCGGCUAACUACGUG